rnacentral:rRNA from 1 species
UACGUAGGGUGCAAGCGUUGUCCGGAAUUAUUGGGCGUAAAGAGCUCGUAGGCGGUUCGUCGCGUCGGCUGUGAAAUCCCGGAGCUCAACUCCGGGUCUGCAGUCGAUACGGGCGGACUCGAGUUCGGCAGGGGAGACUGGAAUUCCUGGUGUAGCGGUGAAAUGCGCAGAGAUCAGGAGGAACACCGGUGGCGAAGGCGGGUCUCUGGGCCGAUACUGACGCUGAGGAGCGAAAGCGUGGGGAGCGAACAGG